UUUGACGCGUAGAAAAGGUAAGUACCGUUUAAGAUGUUUCAAAGAGAGCCUGAAGUGGUGAGAGCAGGUAGCAGAAAAACGAGGAAAUGGCCUUGGAGCGGCAAAGGUGAGCGGAGACGUUAGCCUUUGGAGGGUUCGCCCUUUACAGCGAUGAAGUGGCACAGCCACUUCCUAAGAGCUUUUCUGUGAGGAAAAGCUAAAACAAGGUGGUAACACGGUGCAUCAGACACGCGUCCUUGGU
rnacentral:ncRNA from 1 species